UCUCCAUAAGAGUCACACACACUAGUUGCCUCUAGUUGACCAUCUUGGCCACUCCCCCUUUUUAUUAUUAUUAUAAAAUAUUGAGACCUACAUUAAUUAUUCAUAAUAACGUCAUAAAUUUUCUUAACCUCUUGAUUAUUAUCAGAAAAUUAUUUCCUGGUACUAAACUCUCAUUUUUGCAUAAUUAUUGUGUGUUUUUCUUAAUUUUUUAUCAGUGAGAUAGAGGAAAAUCUGUUUGUUCCAUGUUUCCAUAGGGUGCCGUAGGGUAUUCCAUAUGCAGAAAUAUAUCCGCUUCUAAGUUGGAUUGUAUUCUUCAAUCUUGUUCUGUUCUAAAGACUUACUUAUUAAACCAAAGUUUAACUUGUGUGUUCGCUUUCUUGCUGUCACCAUUCCUCUAUGAUCACGGUUUCCUUAGUGAUGGCAUCCCUCGCCAUUCCCCCUGCCCACUUGUUCAUCAGCAUGAGUAGAGCUGUUUUAUUACUUAUUCUUCCACAACAGUGAGUUCAUCAUGCAAAUUUCAGAAGAUCAUUUAACUUCCAGAUUUCUGAUGCUCUAAUUUGCUUUAGCCUUUUCAUAAGAACUAUUAUUUAGAUUAAUAAUUACCACAUUGAAAUUUUCAAUACAAUUUGUAGAAGUGGAAAAAAUUAUAUAGUCUCUGGCAGGACCUGAUGUGGUCAGCCUCAACAGUUCCAUAAGGGAAAACUCACAUUAUCUGGUCACUGAUUUCAAAUCUUUUUCCACAGCACUUCUUGGUAGGCUGCAGCAAGUUCCCUAUAUUCCACUUUCGUAGUUGCUGUUGACAUCAAGGAAUCAUCAAAUUUUUCUCUUUCUGACUCCUAAGUACUCCCUUGAUCCCUGGGGUCUCUCCAUAGGCCUGGUUCUGGAAUAAGAUGCUGUCUUUAGACUUCCAGCUACAUGAUCUUUUUCUUUGAAAUCCUAGA
rnacentral:lncRNA from 10 species